UCUUGCCUUGGUUUAGCAAUUUAUUUAGGACUUACUCCAGGUACUGGAGGAGAAACUGGCAGCCUUUGAUUACUUCCUGAGAAGGUGAUGGCUGUCAUGGGUCAUACUCAAGGAACAGUAGUGUUUCCAAAGCAGUAGGAUAAAGUCAAUAGAUGGAAGGAUCAAGAGUAGAUUUUUCAUUAGACCACUCAACUAUUGACUUUGCCAUCCUGUUUUGGAAAUACUCAUGUCACCUGGAACUGACCAGAAUUUGAAUCACCUGCACAGACAUUAAGCAGAGACAGCUGCCAGUAGUUAAAAUUAUUUCUUGGUGGCUUUUGGCAUAGAAAAUUUUUAAGAAUAGGAAAGGAGAGCCUUGCUAGGAAACAGUUUUCCCAAAAUAUUUUGGAAUGUAAAGGGAAGGAUUGAUAUCCAGCUUAGCAAUUCUGUAUAUAUCAUAAAGGUGUUGGACAUUGUAGAACUGGCUCUCCAGCCCAAUUUUUGAAUUGUCUGCAUCAACUUAACAGUAAAAUACUUGAGAGGGAGGAAAGGUGACUCUCAAUGAUAGUUUAAAGGACUCCCUAUUUUUCAAGGCCUUAUUUCAAAGAGGCAGUCCUGUUCAUAACUACUUGUGCAUGCACAUAAAACCCACAAAGCCAGAAGAGAAAGUAGAUGCUGAGUGGGAGCACCUCAUGAGUGGUAGAGGUGACGGAGCCAGCUCCCUGACAAGUCUUCUAGCACAAAGCCGUACCUCUAAGGCUGAUAAAUGAGGUGUGAAAGCACACUGAUGUAAACCAAAACUGCAUGGAAGACCUGACAGCAACCGGGAGGAUGGGCAGUAGAGAAUUUUCUCCAGCCUUCCAGAGCAGGCCGCUGAUUCAACAGUAAGCUGGGAGAACCCUAGGAGAAUGCAGAGAAUGCUUUGCUACAUGGAAAGGAAUCCACAAGAAGGAAAACCCCCAAAUAGCCUCACCAGACUUUGGAUCAGGCCCAUGAAAAUGCAUGUGCUUUGGACAACGAUCAAAGAAGGGGCAAAAUGAAUCACCUCUAUUUCUGCAGAAAGAGCUUCCUUCUCUGAACACCUGGGUGUGGCUUCUCUCUGUUCUCAUAAAAUCAGUCUCAUGACCAAUUGCAGGAACACCCAGGGAACAGAACAAGGAGUUCUCUUGCAUCUGAAGACAGCCCCUAGGCUCUACAAGUUUGAUAACUUCCCAGUCAAUGAGUGAAUGUUCCUCUCUCAAUUUUUAUCAUUCACUGACAAAUUCUCUAGACACAUCCUUUGUUAAUCUGGAAGCCUUAAGAGAAAGCACCCCUCUCCCUGCUCAGGACCAGUUGUGCGAAAUUAAAGAAAGGAUCCAAUUAGAGGCUGGGGGCCUUCUUUAUCACCCUGAUACCUUCAACCAGACCACAGACCCCCAAAAUCAUCUGACAUUAACAUGGCACCAGAGGCUUGCCUCUAGCUGCAGGUAUCUUCUUGUUCGUCUGCUAGAAGAUAGAACGAAAAAGGAGCUCCUGACCUGUGUGGAAUCAUUCAGUAUUUUGCAGGCUCCUAUCUUCAUGGCUGCAAGGACUAACAAAUGCCUAUUUAAAAACAUUUAUUUUUCAUUGUCGUAGAGGUAAAAAUCACCCACACAAUGCAGAUAUUACACACAACAGUGAUUCUGGUAAAAGAUAGGUAUCAACUAGAAGCAGCUCGAUGAGUUUCUUGCUCAGAGUUAGUUUAUUUGAAUACUGCCAACAAGACUAUUAUCAGUUUCAUUUCUCUGAAUGAGGCCUAUUUAGCUUGUAUAUCAUUUUUAGAGGUGUGGGAAAGGGUUGCCCUUAUAAUUGGUUCAUGUCCAGCCAUGCAUUUCACACAUCGUCAGAUGGCUUGUUCUGCAAGUACUUCUUCAAAGGACACACCUUCAGCUAUUCCAUUUGCCUGUGCCUCUGAAGUAUGACACCCUUAGAAGAAAUAUGAGAUGGCUUCAAAAAUAUUAGGGUUUCCCUACCUGGAAAAGAUGAUAAGUCAUAUUCUGCAAAGAUAAUAUGUCCCUUCAUACUGGCACAGAUUGAUCUUUGUAAAGCUAGCUAUUUUCCUUCCAAGUUUGGGUUUUAAAUUUCUCUCAGCUUUGUUGAGAACCAUUUACUCAUCUGUCUCUCACACAUAUACAAGAAAUGUCAUACAUUUGAUGCCUACCAAUGCCAAAAACUUUCAGAGGCAGUCAUCUUGUGGGUGCAAUGAAAUAUCAACUAGACAUCUCAAGCUAUUCUCCAAAUAUAAAUAUGUGUCUGUAAAUUGCUCCUAGAGGCAGAUGGGGCACGAAUUAAAAUUCGUACAGAUCUUAUUAAAAGAAAAAAAAUCUCUUUGUAGGCCUAUAACAAAAGCAUUUUGAUGACUUACAAAAUAAAUCAGGGGAGUUAUCUUUUCACAGGAAGUGCCGAUCUAACUAAAUAUUUUUAAUGAUUAAGAGAAACCCUUUUUACUCUACUAAUGGAAAAGUUCUGUGCUGAGGCACCAAUGACAUUGAUUUAUGAAUAACUAGAUAUAAAAGAGCAAAAUAAUAUUGAGCUUUCAAAUGUGAAGAAGUAUCUUAAGAACAACCUGCAGGUUUCUUGGACAUUUUUACAGGUUAACACUAGACAGGGUCUUUAUAUGUAACCCAGAGCAACAUUUUUGAAUCAUAUCAAAGGAAGAGAUCCGCUUUCUCAAGAUUCAAAUGCUCCAAAGUAAUGCAUACAGCCUGGUCUCAUCAAUGCAAAGAUGUGGACACUUUCAAAGAAUAAUUAUUGCAUGUAUCUGAGACUCCUGUCAGAGAGUGGAAUGAGGCAAAUGCCUUUUCUUGAAAGCAGGAAUUCUGAAAAGUUAAGCUGGAUGCCUAAGUAGUUGUACUUCUAGUCUUUGAUGGACUAAUAGGGAAAAUGGUGCACCAACCAGAACAUGGGAAAAGGCUGAGGCCUGCAACAUCUGGCAUUGGAAUGGGCUGCCCAGGGAAGUGGUGGAGUCACCAUCCCUGGAAGUCUUUAAAAGACGUUUAGAUGUAGAGCUUAGGGAUAUGGUUUAUUGGGGACUGUUAGCGUUAGGUCAGAGGUUGGACUCGAUGAUCUUGAGGUCUCUUCCAACCUAGAAAUUCUGUGAUUUUGUGAUCUAAGUUUUACUGGAGAGGAUGGAGGUGAGAGGAUUGGAGAAGGGGGAAAGGGUGGGGCUAGGGCCCUGUGCAGUGGGAAGUGGGCUGGGAAGCUAGGAGAGCUCGUUAUCAAGACAUUCCAGGGGGGGGGAAAAAAAAAAAGCAGAGAGGAUUAUUCCCCUCUAGGGAAACUGAGCUGUGUGUAUGAGCUGGUUUAUAUAUGUAUGUUGUCUUCUCAGGAACAUGGGCAGCCCAGAGCUAUCAAGGGCUGCCCUGAAUAUUGAUCUGAGAGCACCCAGUCUAGACAGUCCCAGCAUGAGAUCCUCUGGAUCCCCUCUGCUCCUCUCUACAACAAAAGGAGAAUACAAUGGGAAAAUGUGGUGCUGGAAGCAAGUUACCAUAUAGCUAAGACUGCAGAGCUUCAAGUCUUCAAUCAAGUAAGGACAACCUCAGGAAUGAUGCUGUAUAUCAGUUGGGACAGGCCUUGUGUCCUGCUCUCAGUGGAUAAGAACAAUUCUACCAUGUUUUCACAAGUCUUUGAGAGGAUAUUGGUACUAGGUGAUAUGGAUGGUACCCAGUGUGUAAGGCAAAAAAUUUAUCACAGGCAUUUUCUUCUUGUGUGAAUUUUGAGAGAGAGUUCUAAGGAUAUGUCCUCAAUUAAUUGUCCUGUUUACCUUCACAAAGUUUUCAUUAUCUGACUUCCCUACUUUGGCGGUGCUUGGUGGUCCAAGCCUGACUUUGUGUGUCAAAGCUGAGGGACAUGGAAGAUUGCCUCACCUCUUACUUAUGCUGUGCAUCCCAACCAUGUCCUGCCUGCAGAUGUGUGUGUGUCAGCUGGCUGUGCAACAUGCAUCUUGUACGUUCUGGUUUCCUGUGGAGGGGAGCUUUGUUGCGUGGAUGGUCAGAGAGCCGUGAUGCAGAUAUCUCCCCACCAGGAUACCCAGAGAAGCCAGACUGUCACAGUGCUGCCAAGUUAACUUGCACUGCCUGUCAGGAAGAUCCACGUACCUUCUGGGUGCAGGGGUUGCACUUCCAAAUUUCAGCUCCCAUUCACAGCUUCUCUGCAGAUCUACUGUAGAAAAUACAUCCACAGGCAUCAAGUGAGAAAUUAACAUUGACAUUUUGACUCAGAAAUGAUACCUCAAUCAGUAUCAGUGGCCAUUGCACUAGACAUUCAUACAUAAGGAAACCUUUCCACACAGACUCUGAGUAUGUGGCAGGACUUUUCAUGUGGCUCAGGAAAGUAAGUAUCUAGCUAAGGUUUCUGGCUCAAGAGAUUAGGACAUCUCUAUAAGCUAAGUUUCUGGCCUCAGUCAUAAUGGAUCCUCACACAGUUGACAGGUCUCUAGGUGGAUGCCUGACUGGUUUAGUUGGUGAGUCAAAAGCAACUGGUUUUGAUGACAAUUUCUUUAUUUCCUAACAGGCUAGAAAAGUUUGUUCAACGUAACCCAAAGGUUAAAAACAGUUUGGGUCAAUGUUAAAUUAUUAGGAACCCAAAUUUCACUGUAAAAUCUCUAGAAGACAAAGAUCUGCUUUCUUUCUUCUUGGUCUUUGCAUUGAUUACAGUGGCUUUCAAUUAAGGUCCCAGGUGAAUUUUUUGUUAACACUUAGUGCAUGCUGAGUAAAUACUUUCAGUGCAAAAGGUUAAAGAGCUGGUAACUCAAAACAUUGAAGCUCUUGUUUUUCUCUGAAUCAAAAAGGAACACCAGCUUCUUCAGACAGCACUGCUGGAUUUGAGCUGUGGUUUUGGGGAGUCUGGGUACAGAAGAUGCAAACCUUCCCAGGCUGAAUUGUUACAUCUCCUAUUCACCCACAAUAAACUGUUUUGUUGUGUUUCUUUGUU